rnacentral:rRNA from 1 species
CCGACGGUGAGGGACGAAAGCUGGGGGAGCAAACCGGAUUAGAUACCCGGGUAGUCCCAGCUGUAAACGAUGCGCGUUAGGUGUGUCAGUGACCACGUGUCACUGAUGUGCCGAAGGGAAACCGUGAAACGCGCCGCCUGGGGAGUACGGUCGCAAGGCUGAAACUUAAAGAAAUUGGCGGGGGAGCACCACAACGGGUGGAGCCUGCGGUUUAAUCGGACUCAACGCCGGAAAUCUCACCGGAUAA